GUAUUUAAAGGCUUUGAUCAAGUCACCUCAUCACCUUCUCUUUGUUAAUCUGGAAAGACUGAACUCCUUGAGACUUUUGCAAUAAGGCAGGAAUUGUGCCUCCGCGUCCCUCGGCUGCUUUGAAAAUCCCAGCCAGAGAGUCUAAGGUUGGGCACCUGAAAACGAGAGGGUAUUUAGAGAACUCACCCCAUUACGUCUUUGUGCUCCUCUCCCCCUUUUGGCACCGGGCUUUGAGAUGAGAGGGCUUGUGCUAGCGACGGUUGGAAAGCUUCUGUUCAUUUUCUCUCCUUUUUUCUCCUGUGAUGGAUGGUAACUCCUCAGAAAUGGCUUUCCCAGGGAAGCACCGGCUCUUUUGAGUGUUCCCCCCCUGGCUGCACUCUGCCCUGUGCCCGUGUGCCUGCCCCCCUGUGCCUGGGGGAGAUGGGGACCUGCUGCUUUCUGCUCGCUUCUCCUUUGCUGCUUGGCCUCUGCAGGCAGGGUGACAGAACUGAAUUAUGGAUGUCACCUCACUGGGUUUUAAUGAAAGCCAUUUCUGGUGUUAGUGCGAGCGUGACCGAUGCGGCACCGUGGGUGCGGCAGCGUCCCCGAGGACGGGGACAGCCCAGGGACAGGAGCAGCGGCGUCGCAGUGGAGACUCGGCGCAGGGCUGGCACCUGCUGCCUGGUGCUGGCUCCCUGCUGCAGCCACCCCACGGUGUGUUUCUGUCUUAUCCUGCCUGCUUUCAUCACCAGCUCCCCAGGACAUCCCGCGUUUCUCUCUCCGUCACUGUACAAUGCCCGGCACAGAUGUUGGCGAGAGCCUUUGGGCUCCCCCAGUAAUGAUACCAACAGUAAGCAAGUUUGCUGUAUAUCUUCAUUGUCUGGAGAUGAAGAAAGUCUGGUGCGUGCGGUUUGAAGUGGAAAAAACAAUCUUUCAUGUUGCAUUCUGCCCGGGCUUGGGAAAAUCUGAGUCCUCGGUGCCUGAGGAUGCAGCACCAGGCUGCAGCCCCUGGGCACGGCCCUGCACCCAUGGGGUGAAGGAUGGGCAGGGCGAGAAGGGUUGAGGAGGGGGAGAGAUGGGAAUGUGAAGUACAGAAGCGUGCACCCUAUUUUCCUGAAUCCUUUUGGCUGUGGAUGGGCAGAGAGUGGGUGCUGAGCGGCAGCUCGGGGAAGGAACAAUAACACCGGUACCCAGGAGUGGCGCCGAGCUGUCCCCAUGCAUUGAGCAUUUUUUCCCCUCCUGCAUCUCCCCAGGACCAUGCCGAGGAGCUGGGUGGUCCCCCAGGUGCUCGCUCCUGGCACUCCAGCGGUGGCACAGCCCUGCCCUGCUGCUUCUGCUCCUCCAAGAGGAAUCGCCACAGCCGUACCGCAACGUUUGCUAUUAAAUAUUUAAUUCGGACUUAACAACUCAAUACAUUUGGUGCCAUCAAAGGGUCUGGGGCUUGCUCCCAGCCUGCUCUGAUUAACAAAGUACCUGGCCGGCAAAGAUCUGCUGAUCCAGUCACCCAGGGCUUUGUUACACGCUGUUCAAUGCCAGUGGAGAGGCAGCAUUAACUAGGAAGCAUCGAUUUCAGCAUUAGCCGGCUUUUACAUUCGAAAGCAGACAAUGCAAGGACCUUCAAUUAUCUUCAAAGCAACUGAAGGGAAGGAAAUUGGUCUUAGAUGUGGUAAAUAGACUCCACAAACUCUACUGAAGCAUGCAAAGAUGUACACAAGGGAAUUACAGAUCCUUGCAUAACUGUUUGUAGUUUAUUCAAAAAUGUGAUUGAAAUUCUAUAGAUUUUGUAUUAGUCCCCUUUUUUGUGGUAAUCUGAUUCCGGGAUUUACUAAUCUGGCUGGGAUUAUUAUUGUAAGAGGAAACCCUAAUUUGCCUUUUUGCAAGGGUUCUGCCUCUGCCCAGGAGUGCCUGGAAAGAG
rnacentral:lncRNA from 1 species